rnacentral:rRNA from 1 species
UACGUAGGGGGCGAGCGUUGUCCGGAUUUACUGGGCGUAAAGCGCACGCAGGCGGUCUGCUAAGUUUGGAGUGACAGUUGGUGGCUUAACUGCCAAAGUGCUUCGAAAACUGACAGACUUGAGGGCUUCAGAGGGACACGGAAUUCCGGGUGGAGUGGUGAAAUGCGUAGAGAUCCGGAAGAACACCAAAGGCGAAGGCACCAUCCUGGGGAGUCACUGACGCUCGGGUGCGAAAGCCAGGGGAGCGAACGGG